UUGGACUAGGAACCCACAGAGUAAAAUGUUCGGUUCAUCCAGACUUCAGAUUAGUUCUUGUUGCAACAAACGAUGCAGUGUACAAAAAGUUUCCAAUUCCAUUGAUAAACAGACUUGAAAAGCAUCAAUUAUCCUGGAAGUACCAUAUGUCUCCAAUGCAAGAGUCACAUAGCAAGGAAUUGACCACUUUUCUUAGGCAUCUUUCAAAUAACCAAACUGAUAGCCACAGCUGUAGCAAUAGAAAAUAUUCUCUAAACGACGUUUUGAUCGGCUUCAAUGAUGACACAUUAUAUGGAGUCUU